CAUGGCUCAGGAUGAACGCUAGCGGGAGGCCUAACACAUGCAAGCCGAGCGGUAGAGAUUCUUCGGAAUCUUGAGAGCGGCGUACGGGUGCGGAACACGUGUGCAACCUGCCUUUAUCAGGGAGAUAGCCUUUCGAAAGGAAGAUUAAUACCCCAUAAUAUAUUAAGUGGCAUCACUUGAUAUUGAAAACUACGGUGGAUAGAGAUGGGCACGCGCAAGAUUAGAUAGUUGGUAGGGUAACGGCCUACCAAGUCUACGAUCUUUAGGGGGCCUGAGAGGGUGAUCCCCCACACUGGUACUGAGACACGGACCAGACUCCUACGGGAGGCAGCAGUGAGGAAUAUUGGACAAUGGGUGCAAGCCUGAUCCAGCCAUCCCGCGUGAAGGACGACGGCCCUAUGGGUUGUAAACUUCUUUUGUAUAGGGAUAAACCUAGAUACGUGUAUCUAGCUGAAGGUACUAUACGAAUAAGCACCGGCUAACUCCGUCCAGCAGCCGCGGUAAUACGGAGGGUGCAAGCGUUAUCCGGAUUUAUUGGGUUUAAAGGGUCCGUAGGCGGAUCUGUAAGUCAGUGGUGAAAUCUCACAGCUUAACUGUGAAACUGCCAUUGAUACUGCAGGUCUUGAGUGUUGUUGAAGUAGCUGGAAUAAGUAGUGUAGCGGUGAAAUGCAUAGAUAUUACUUAGAACACCAAUUGCGAAGGCAGGUUACUAAGCAACAACUGACGCUGAUGGACGAAAGCGUGGGGAGCGAACAGGAUUAGAUACCCUGGUAGUCCACGCCGUAAACGAUGCUAACUCGUUUUUGGAUUUUCGGAUUCAGAGACUAAGCGAAAGUGAUAAGUUAGCCACCUGGGGAGUACGUUCGCAAGAAUGAAACUCAAAGGAAUUGACGGGGGCCCGCACAAGCGGUGGAUUAUGUGGUUUAAUUCGAUGAUACGCGAGGAACCUUACCAAGGCUUAAAUGGGAAAUGACAGGUUUAGAAAUAGACUUUUCUUCGGACAUUUUUCAAGGUGCUGCAUGGUUGUCGUCAGCUCGUGCCGUGAGGUGUUAGGUUAAGUCCUGCAACGAGCGCAACCCCUGUCACUAGUUGCCAUCAUUAAGUUGGGGACUCUAGUGAGACUGCCUACGCAAGUAGAGAGGAAGGUGGGGAUGACGUCAAAUCAUCACGGCCCUUACGCCUUGGGCCACACACGUAAUACAAUGGCCAGUACAGAGGGCAGCUACACAGCGAUGUGAUGCAAAUCUCGAAAGCUGGUCUCAGUUCGGAUUGGAGUCUGCAACUCGACUCUAUGAAGCUGGAAUCGCUAGUAAUCGCGCAUCAGCCAUGGCGCGGUGAAUACGUUCCCGGGCCUUGUACACACCGCCCGUCAAGCCAUGGAAGUCUGGGGUACCUGAAGUCGGUGACCGUAACAGGAGCUGCCUAG
rnacentral:rRNA from 1 species